ensembl:lincRNA uncharacterized LOC110333544
GUCUAAAAGCACGAAAGAAAUGGUGCCUGCACACAGGCACUUCCCCUUAAAAGAAGCAGUCUGCAGAGCAGGGGGAGACAAAGGGACAAUUCGGAACAAACAAGCUCUCUAUAAACAGAUACUCUCCAAUUAAACGAUAAGAUAGUGAAUGGAUCUCAUUUAAUAGAAAAAUACUAAAAGUCCUGUGCUUGGCAGAUUCAAUGAAUCAGCGAAUUGUUUCUGCAACCAUCUGAGGAAUCUGGGUGUGAACGUGAAAAAAAAUGUCCACUUCACAGUUGUGGAAGCAGAGGCUUGCAAAAGCCCAGAAAACAGAAGUCUAACCAGUCAGCUGAACGCCCGUGGGUCCAUCCGGUAAUCUUCUUUCAAUCCAGGUAUCAACAUCAAGUUGUUGUAGUAUUUGUGAAAUAAUCUCACAGCAUUGUUUCUGCAUUUACAAAGAACCGAGGACAACAGUCACAUUAUUGCUUGGAUGUGAAAUGCUCCCCCCCCCCCCACCCCUGCUCAUGUUUUUGAACUUUUGGUCCCCAGAUGGUGGCGCUGUACUGGGAGGUUGUGACACCGGAAGAUAAACCCUCUCGGUCUCUGUUCCUGGAAAGGUUAUACAGAGGCAUGCAUUGCUGUUGACCCUUCUAUACACUUCCACACAUGCACGGGCUCAUGUGCACACUACACACAGUUCUCUAACAGAUCAGCGAUUCGACAUGGCAGCGAUUGUACUGGGGAAGAGGAAGCAAACAAUUGGCUGUGAAGAGUGAGAGCCGUGCCCUGGCACAGCCAGUGUCUGCUGAGUGCCAUCACUGUUGCUGCUCAUCGCCCACAGUCUGGUUUCUCAUCAUUUAAUUCUGCAAUGAUUACAUAACAAGGAACAGUUACUCUGUUUACCU